rnacentral:rRNA from 1 species
GACGAACGCUGGCGGCGUGCCUAAUACAUGCAAGUCGAACGCAGUGGGGACGGGUGAGUAACACGUGGGUAACCUCCCCAUCAGAGGGGAUAACACUUGGAAACAGGUGCUAAACCGAUAUUGAUGGAUGGAGCCGUGGUGCCUUAGCUAGUUGGUGAGGUAACGGCUCACCAAGGCCACGAUGCAUAGCCGACAUGAGAGGGUGAUAGGCCACACUGGGACUGAGACACGGCCCAGACUCCUACGGGAGGCAGCAGUAGGGAAUCUUGGACAAUGGACGAAAGGCUGACCGAGCAACGCCGCGUGAGUGAAGAAGGUUUUCGGAUCGUAAAACUCUGUUGGCAGAGAAGCGGUAUCUAACCAGAAAGCAACGGCUAACUACGUGCCAGCAGCCGCGGUAAUGC